rnacentral:rRNA from 1 species
UGGGGAAUUUUGGACAAUGGGGGAAACCCUGAUCCAGCCAUCCCGCGUGUGCGAUGAAGGCCUUCGGGUUGUAAAGCACUUUUGGCAGGAAAGAAACGUCAUGGGUUAAUACCCCGUGAAACUGACGGUACCUGCAGAAUAAGCACCGGCUAACUACGUGCCAGCAGCCGCGGUAAUACGUAGGGUGCAAGCGUUAAUCGGAAUUACUGGGCGUAAAGCGUGCGCAGGCGGUUCGGAAAGAAAGAUGUGAAAUCCCAGAGCUCAACUUUGGAACUGCAUUUUUAACUACCGGGCUAGAGUGUGUCAGAGGGAGGUGGAAUUCCGCGUGUAGCAGUGAAAUGCGUAGAUAUGCGGAGGAACACCGAUGGCGAAGGCAGCCUCCUGGGAUGCCACUGACGCUCAUGCACGAAAGCGUGGGGAGCAAACAGG